GGGGCGUGUUGGAAUUCUUAAGAAUAGAGAGAAGCACAAGGGUAGCUUUGAGACAGUUCACAUUCAGGAUUCCCUGGGGCAUGAGUUUGCUACCCGUUUGGGAAAUGUGUUCACUCUUGGUAAAGGUAGUAAGCCAUGGGUGUCUCUACCUAAGGGUAAAGGUAUCAAGUUAUCUAUCAUUGAAGAGGCUCGCAAGAGGAUGGCUACUCAAUCAGCUACAACUGCUUAAAAAUGAUAGGUUGAACUUGAGAUGAAUUUAAUAGAUUGGGCCAUGUUUCUCUUUGUUUAGAGGGAUGACAUUCUUAUUUUGUGUGUUGCAUUUCAACAUCUGUGUACUCGGUACUGAUUUACUUGCCUUCUUUUGUCGGGAAAAAAGGUAGACUGAGUUGAGAUCAAUCAGUUGCCUUUUAUGUGAUAGUAUUUUAUUGCGACAGAGUUUAAGGACCUUGUCCAUUAGUAUAUUCACUUAUUUCAAAAUGAGUUUUUGGUUGUAAUAUUUUCAAAUCUAACCUGGAGUUGGAUUCCAAAUUUGGUUUAGUGCAGUAAACCUGAUUCCUAGUUUCAUUUUCAUAAACUUCAUAUAAAGUGGGCUCUUUUGUCCAGCAAAUAGUAUAAUCAAACAUAACUGUCUAAUUUGAUAAAUUUUCGGAAUCUAUUUCCAAAUGAUUUUUGAUUUCGAUGUAAUUUUGUGUUCUUUUUGUUAAUGAGUUAUUUCACCAGAGUUAAAAUGAGAAGUUUAGUUAUAAAUUAUUUAGCAUAUCACUUAACUGAGUGAGUACAAUCAAGUAUUAAUGACUCUUGAUAAUGGUUAACAUAAUCCAUUAUUUAUUAUUAACGGGAAGGGAAAGUGGAAAUUGUGUGUUCUCACCAACAAGAUGAAAGUUUUCCAGUCGAAGUUAUUAUAUGCUUCUCUAGAUGCAAUUAGUUUUCUAGUGACAACUCUUUAAGGCAAAAGAUCAACUAAAACUAUUUAGUUCAUAAAUAGUGAUUUUAUUUCUGCUAAUUUAAGUGUCCAAAUCCAUUUUAUGUAUAGGUGUUAAGAUUGAAUACAAAGUUUAAAGAAAUUAUCUCUGAAAAUCGAUGAUAUGAAAAGUUUGACAUGUCUAUUCAUUUUCCUUUUUAUAUAAAAAAAAAACUUCAAUGUCAAGUGGGUGCUUUGCAAAUAGUUAGUACAACAUAAAUCGCAGUAAGUUAUAUUUGGCACAAAACGAACACUUAGUAGACAUAAAAAUGCACAACUUGGUACGCCUUAGUAGAAAUAAACAUGGUGUUUAACGAAAGAGCAAAUAGAACCUAACGGUAAACUCUCACGUCAAUUCCAUCACAAUAGUAAAUUGUUGCCUGCAUAACAAAAUAGAAUGUUAUACUUGGUUUUCAAGCUAGAAAUAAGGAGAUGCAUCCUAUUAGGUGUAUUUACUACCAAAUUCAAAGUCUUAUUACAUAGCUUGAACAUCAUUAUUUCAGAUAAAUAUAGAGGCUAUGUUUGUUGGGCCGCAUAAACGAAGUUACUCAGCCCGUGUAAUUUGUUGGAUAAAUAAGGCCCAUAUUCUGGGUGAUUUAGACGGCCCAACAUGCUUUAGGCCCAAAACAAAUUGGGCGUAUGAGGUAUGUACUAUAGUAUUUAAGAGAUUGUAUCUUCAUCUCGUUAGGGUUUAAGACACACACCUCUCGCCGGUAGCCGUCACUCGUGCCAGCUAAUCAGUCGGAAAACCGCCAAAAUGGUUUGUUUUCUCUCUCUGUUAAUUCAUCUCGUCAAUGUUGUUUAGCUUAUUGUGUGUUGCCUGAUAGAUCAGUUGUAUUUUAAUCUUCAUGGCUUUUGUUCCAGGUCUAGACUGUACUGUAUCAGUUAUACCUUUGCUAAUUGUUUGCUAUUUGCGUAAUGCAUCUGAGAUAAUAUUCUUGGAUGUUCCUUUCGAUUUAUGCGCUCAAAUGUAUGUGUUGAUCUCAAGUGCUGCUGGUUAAUUUUAGGGCUCGUAUGUGGAAAUAAUCAAUUGCAUUAGUUACUGUGGCCAAUAGUGUAUACAGUUUUUUCUAAUUGUAUUUUGCUGUCAUUGUGAUUGCUGUUGCACUCUGUGUUGUGCUGUAUCCUACUGGAUUGUUUCAAUGAAUACAACAUUUCGAUAGAUUUUAUGGUUCUACAGAUAGAGCUACUUUAAAAAAUUAAUUUUAAGACAAAAUAAGAUUACUAAAUAAUUAGUAAAGACAUAGUGAGUAAAUAAAUAAAUCAGGCCAAAUUGGUCGUUACACAAAGUGAAACCAAUACCUAACUGUUGAUUUAAUGAUAGCUUAGGAUUUGGACAAUGAAAUUGUGUAGUAUAGUUCAAGUUGUUUACUAGAUGUAUUGAAAAAACGUUCUUUACCUUUGUGAAAGAACAUGUUUCUAGCGUUGUUUGACAUGGAUAAAUAUUAAUAAAAAGCUGUGGAAUAGCUCCCCUUUUUAUUUUUGGUAAAUUGACUUUUGUUCUUUCAGCUUUCAUUUAUAUAAGUGGUAAGAUUUUUGCAUUUAGGCUUUGGAAACAUUAUACUAAAGUGAAUUUCGUAACUUCUUCUCUAUAUAUAGGCAAGAGGGUUGAAGAAACAUUUGAAGAGGCUCAAUGCGCCUAAGCAUUGGAUGCUUGAUAAACUUGGAGGUGCUUUUGUAAGUGACGUGUCUUUCCCUUGGGUCUUUGUUUUAAUAGAACUACUUAGUUUCCUGCUUCUUGACUUUACUGUUCUCUUUGGUCUCUACUGCAGGCUCCCAAGCCUUCUUCUGGUCCACAUAAAUCAAGGGAAUGUUUGCCAUUGGUUAUUAUCCUCAGGAACAGGUUGAAAUAUGCUUUGACAUACCGUGAGGUCAUUUCUAUCUUGAUGCAACGCCAAGUUAUGGUUGAUGGGAAAGUUAGGACAGAUAAGACUUACCCUGCUGGUUUCAUGGGUAAGAACACCUCCAUUAGAUUGUUUUUUCAUUUCAUAACCUUUAGAUUAUGUUUUCCUUAUCUGUACUGUCUAGGUUUUGUUCAUUUCCAGACGAAAGUAAUACUCUACUGAUUCAUCUAUAUACACAUGCUUUCACAGUUCCAAAGACAAUUGUUGAUCCAAGUGUCUACAAGUUUUUUCAUUAAAAAUCAUUGUCUCAUCUCUGUUAUUUCAUUUUUUCUUGUUUCUAUGCUUGUUGAAUCCCUUGACAAAUUGGUAAUGCUGUUAUUUUCUUUGUGUAGAUGUUGUUACUAUUCCAAAGACAAAUGAGAGUUUCCGACUUCUUUAUGACACUAAGGGUCGGUUCCGUCUCCACUCACUCAGAGAUGAGGAGGCCAAGGUUUGAACCUGUUUCCUGCUCCUUUAUUCCGGUUUCCUUUGGAUGCCGUGCUGUUUAAGUAGUGACCUUGUUUUCUGCUCUUUGCAGUUGAAACUUUGUAAGGUUCGAUCAGUGCAGUUUGGACAGAAAGGGAUCCCAUAUCUCAACACUUAUGAUGGAAGAACAAUCCGCUACCCUGAUCCCCUCAUCAAGGCCAAUGACACCAUCAAGCUUGACUUAGAUUCCAAUAAGAUUGUUGACUUCAUCAAAUUUGAUGUUGGAAAUGUGGUCAUGGUUACUGGUGGUAGAAACAGGGGGCGUGUUGGAAUUCUUAAGAACAGAGAGAAGCACAAGGGUAGCUUUGAGACAGUUCACAUUCAGGAUUCCCUGGGGCAUGAGUUUGCUACCCGUUUGGGAAAUGUGUUCACUCUUGGUAAAGGUAGUAAGCCAUGGGUGUCUCUACCUAAGGGUAAAGGUAUCAAGUUAUCUAUCAUUGAAGAGGCUCGCAAGAGGAUGGCUACUCAAUCAGCUACAACUGCUUAAAAAUGAUGGGUUGAACUUGUGAUAAAUUUAACAGGUUGGGCCAUGUUUCUCUUUGUUUAGAGAUACCAAUCUUAUUCUGUAUGUUGGAUUUUAACAUUUUUGUACUCGGUACCGUUUAACUUUGUUUUGUUGGGAAAAGAGGUUGACUGAGUUUAAGAUCAUUCAU
rnacentral:lncRNA from 1 species